AAAGCGUCCGUAGCCGGCCGGUCAAGUCCGUUGGGAAAUCUCUCCGCUUAACGGGCGGGAGUCCAGCGGAAACUGUCCGGCUUGGGACCGGAAGACCCGAGGGGUACGUCCGUGGUAGGAGUGAAAUCCUGUAAUCCCGGGCGGACCACCGAUGGCGAAAGCACCUCGGGAGGACGGAUCCGACGGUGAGGGACGAAAGCUAGGGUCUCGAACCGGAUUAGAUACCCGGGUAGUCCUAGCCGUAAACGAUGCCCGCUAGGUGUGACGCAGGCUACGAGCCUGCGCUGUGCCGUAGGGAAGCCGUGAAGCGGGCCGCCUGGGAAGUACGUCCGCAAGGAUGAGACUUAAAGGAAUUGGCGGGGGAGCACUACAACCGGAGGAGCCUGCGGUUUAAUUGGAGUCAACGCCGGA
rnacentral:rRNA from 1 species